rnacentral:rRNA from 1 species
AGCGAACGCUGGCGGCAGGCCUAACACAUGCCAGUCGAACGAACUCUUCGGAGUUAGUGGCGGACGGGUGAGUAACACGUGGGAACGUGCCUUUUGGUUCGGAAUAACUCAGGGAAACUUGUGCUAAUACCGAAUGUGCCCUUCGGGGGAAAGAUUUAUCGCCAUUAGAGCGGCCCGCGUCUGAUUAGCUAGUUGGUGAGGUAACGGCUCACCAAGGCGACGAUCAGUAGCUGGUCUGAGAGGAUGACCAGCCACACUGGGACUGAGACACGGCCCAGACUCCUACGGGAGGCAGCAGUGGGGAAUCUUGCGCAAUGGGCGAAAGCCUGACGCAGCCACGCCGCGUGAAUGAUGAAGGUCUUAGGAUUGUAAAAUUCUUUCACCGGGGACGAUAAUGACGGUACCCGGAGAAGAAGCCCCGGCUAACUUCGUG